UCCCACACCCCAAAUUGGCCACCCAGGCCCAGAGGGGAGCUGCCACCCACCAGGGACCCUCCGGAGCGUGGCAGCUGCAUGCAUGGAGGACCUGGGCAGCCCACUUCGAUUACUCUUGCCUCGUAGGAGCCUCAAUUGUUUAGGAAGUUAGAAACGUCCACACAGGAAAGCUGGCCAGCAUCUCUGUAACCUACGCCCGCGCGGGGCGUGGGGACGGCCCGAGUGCUGUGAGCCCCCAGGCCGGGGCGCAGGUAGUUCUGGGUCCUCACGCCUGGCCUGGCCCCGCCCCACCCAGGACGGGGCGCGGGAGGGGUCACGUCUGCGGUCAGAAGCCAGCAGGUGACUGGAGGCAGCUCUUUGCAGUGGAGCUCCUCACUGUGAUGGAGGAAGGGCCCAGUGGGCUGAUUUCCGGGGUGACCGGAGGUCACCAGGUGGGAAUGGACCCCACGCAGCAAGGCCUUCCGGUUCUUGGGACCAGAGUAUUAGGAAACCCAGUUAGCAGCACCCUCACUAAAGGUCGCGCCUUUGACUCAACUCGUCCAGAUGAGGAAAGCGCCCUGUCCCUUGGGGAGGGGGAGCGCCUCCCAAGAGGGCCAACAGGCGGGGUCAACAGUGGGCGAGGACCUCACCCCUGGCGAGGCUGGACACUGCAGUUCCCCCGUGGUCUCCGUUUCUUUUGUCCACUGCCGGGUCCACCAUGCUGUUUCCCCAGAGCUGCGGGGGCGUGAGGGGUGGGGACCUGUGCCCUCAGGACCGAGGUGCCUGCAGCCUGGUCCCCGCUCGAGAGGAGGGUAUGAGAAUGGCCGAGGGUGACAAUUUCCACUGGCGUCACCGCUCACUGCAUGUCCCUUUAUGCCUCACCAGCAAAGAAGAUGUUUUCUAAGAGAAGACAGAGGGUAUGGAGAAUGGCAUUUCUUAAAUAUUAGGAAGGCAGCACUUUUGAGAUUUAAAUUCUGCAUCUAGCCUGCAAUCAUUUUUACCUUGUGUUAAAUAAAAGUACCACGUCAGAGGAGGGGCUGGGAGCGAGUUAAGUGAAAUGGAUACGGAACUUAGACACCUUCUCGGGAGGCUGCCUGGCGAGGGCGCCUGGUGGAGCGGGGAUGCCCUUCUACUGGUGACCGAUUGCAGGCCUGGGCAAAUAUUUCCCAUCACCCCCUCCCUGGGCAGUUGUGUGUGGGUUUAGUUUGUUCUGAAAGUCCUUUCAAGGACAUAAAUAGUCCCAGAGCUUUCUUUAGUCUUUCAAAAGUGCCUUCGUUAUCUGUCCCAAGUUUAUCCAUAGAGAUUUUGGAGGAAUAUUUUUUACUUCCUUCAAGCUGAGUAGUUUACAACUGCUUUCCUCUCCUUCGGGGGGUCCCAGCACCCUGCUGAUCUCUUCCUAGGAGAAUGGCACGCAGAGUGAAGAGACUAGGACCUGAAUGCGCUCACCUGCUGUCCCUCGUUCUGUGACUUACGAGCUUUUCUCAGGCUCAUCCAGUCUUCCAUGCUUUGUACACAAUACGAGGAAAAGAAAACACUGAGUGUGUGCUUCUGCAGGCGUAAGAAAGUGACCUGAGCAAGUCUGCACCUAACCUAGUGGAAGAAGGACUCUCAAAGUCUGCAAGAAUGGUACCAUAGACAUAGAUAUAGAUAUCACUGCAGAUUCGGGAGAAAACAAUCUGUGAACGUCUACUCUUCACAAGAACCGUGCUAGGCGCUGCCAGGAGCACAGAGAGAAGGCAGAGGGUGUGGACCCAAGGGCGGGAGGCCGAGAGGACCAGCUGAUGUGGGGAGGAGAGGAGACAGGAGAUCCGGACCAGCUCCAAGACGGACGUGGCGGAAGUACUGGAAUCGUUGAGGGUCCAUUCACCAACGAUCGCCCAAACAGUUGUUCUUUUUAUAAAAGGAUCGAGAUCCUUCCGUGUAUGAUGCACCUCCUGCCCGUUUCGCCAGCCCUGCGGAGGAAGCCUCUUGCCAGGUCAUUAAACCACCAUCAGAGUCACGCCUGGAAUUCCACGAUGGAGGAGGCUGUACCGUCCCCGAUUUAACCCCCUGUUGUCCCCCUCCCCCAUGCCAACAUCUUGGUCACUCUGACAAGCCUUUCUGCUCACAUUCUCCAGGAGACUUCCUUGGAGAUGCCAUGGCUGUCUGAGAGGCAUCCGGGGUCCCGAUUGGACACCUGGCCCAGCCUGCUCAGGACAGCACAGCCCCGGGGAGGAGGGUGGUACCUGGUGGCCAAGAGCAGACUCUCAGAAACCGAGGGCUCCCAGGCGGUCCUGGAGACCCGCAGGCUCAGGCCACCACAGCAGGGCUUGGGGGCUGUGGGAAAGGGAGAGGCCUCAUCCCCCGGUUGCCAAGGUGACGCGGAAGCCUCUGAUUGCCCAGGAGGACCCGUGGCUCAGCAUCGGGCUUUUUCAGUACAGCCUACAAAGGUGUUUUCGUUCAUUCUGACCUGGUUUUCAUGGAUUUUGGUAUUGUUGUGUUGUUUGUUUAAAAAGACAACACAUGGACUUACGUCAUGAAGAGGCAAAGACGUCACUGGCAUCAGCUAAUAAAAAUGAUCAUAAACUCGU